UAUGUUUUUCUGAGAAGAUACAUGC
rnacentral:piRNA from 1 species